rnacentral:rRNA from 1 species
UACGUAGGGUGCAAGCGUUAAUCGGAAUUACUGGGCGUAAAGCGUGCGCAGGCGGUUGUGCAAGACAGAUGUGAAAUCCCCGGGCUUAACCUGGGAACUGCAUUUGUGACUGCACAGCUGGAGUGCGGCAGAGGGGGAUGGAAUUCCGCGUGUAGCAGUGAAAUGCGUAGAUAUGCGGAGGAACACCGAUGGCGAAGGCAAUCCCCUGGGCCUGCACUGGCGCUCAUGCACGAAAGCGUGGGGAGCAAACAGG